rnacentral:rRNA from 1 species
UAGUCCACGCCGUAAACGAUGGAUACUAGGUGUUUGGAGUGUUAACCCUCUGAGUGCCGGAGCUAACGCAUUAAGUAUCCCACCUGGGGAGUACGGUCGCAAGGCUAAAACUCAAAGGAAUUGACGGGGCCCGCACAAGCGGUGGAGUAUGUGGUUUAAUUCGAAGCAACGCGCAGAACCUUACCUGGCCUUAACAUCCCAGGACAACCCUAGAGAUAGGGCUUUCUCUUCGGAGACCUGGUGAUAGGUGCUGCAUGGCUGUCGUCAGCUCGUGUCGUAAGAUGUUGGGUUAAGUCCCGCAACGAGCGCAACCCCUUUUACUAGUUGCCAGCAUUUAGUUGGGGACUCUAGUGAUACUGCCGGUGAUAAACCGGAGGAAGGUGGGGAUGACGUCAGGGUCAUCAUGGGCCCUUACGGGGUAGGGGCUACACACGUGCUACAAU